rnacentral:lncRNA from 1 species
GGUUUAGGAUUUAGGGUUUAGGGUUUAGAGUUUAGAGGUGGGGUUUAGGGUUUAGAGUUAAGGGGUGGGGUUUAAGAUUUAGGGUUUAGGGUUUAGGAUUUAGGGUUUAGGGUUUAGAGUUUAGAGGUGGGGUUUAGGGUUUAGAGUUAAGGGGUGGGGUUUAAGAUUUAGGGUUUAGGGUUUAGGAUUUAGGGUUUAGGGUUUAGAGUUUAGAGGUGGGGUUUAGGGUUUAGAGUUAAGGGGUGGGGUUUAAGAUUUAGGGUUUAGGGUUUAGGAUUUAGGGUUUAGGGUUUAGAGUUUAGGGUUUAGGGUUUAUGUUUUAGGGUUUAGAAUUGGAGAGUGGAGUUUUGGAAUAAAAUUUUAAAUUUUGAAAAAUAAAAAAAAAAAGUUU